rnacentral:rRNA from 1 species
CCUACGGGGAGCUGCAGUGGGGAAUAUUGGACAAUGGGGGGAACCCUGAUCCAGCCAUGCCGCGUGUGUGAAGAAGGCCCUCGGGUUGUAAAGCACUUUCAGUGAGGAAGAACGCCUGGUGGUUAAUACCCAUCAGGAAAGACAUCACUCACAGAAGAAGCACCGGCUAACUCCGUGCCAGCAGCCGCGGUAAUACGGAGGGUGCGAGCGUUAAUCGGAAUUACUGGGCGUAAAGCGCGCGUAGGUGGCUUGAUAAGCCGGUUGUGAAAGCCCCGGGCUCAACCUGGGAACGGCAUCCGGAACUGUCAAGCUAGAGUGCAGGAGAGGAAGGUAGAAUUCCCGGUGUAGCGGUGAAAUGCGUAGAGAUCGGGAGGAAUACCAGUGGCGAAGGCGGCCUUCUGGACUGACACUGACACUGAGGUGCGAAAGCGUGGGUAGCAAACAGGAUUAGAUACCCUAGUAGUC